AGCGCGGUGGUCCCACCUGACCCCAUGCCGAACUCAGAAGUGAAACGCCGUAGCGCCGAUGGUAGUGUGGGGUCUCCCCAUGUGAGAGUAGGGAACUGCCAGGCA
rnacentral:rRNA from 7 species